UUAAAACUCAAAAUUUUCAAGCCAUUUCAGAAAUCUUCCAUUCACCUUCUGAUCCUCACCGAUCUUGCGGUGUACAUGUAUAGCCUCAGAAACUCAGCCACGACCAUAAACACAGGAUUGAAAAAGCAUGCAGGAAAUACAAAAAGUUGAGCGAUUAAAUAAAAUUAUUUACAGACGACACAGAUUAGGAUUGACGGGGAAGUGUGGAACCAGAAUUGACACCACCGGAGAUUCAGAAUUCAGUGGCUGCCUCAGGCUGCUCGCCGUGUCACCUCCUGCUGCUGUUGCUGCUGCUGAUCCUUCGACACAGACACGAGAACGAUGAUGAAGGCAGCAACAGAUGAAAGACAAAAACCCCAUGAUAUCCUCCUGAUGGACCUGACCUCUCUCUCUCUCUCUCUACAAAUUUUUAACAUUCAAUUUGAGUGUUGCAAAUAGCAAUAGGAUCAUCAUUUUAACAAGGUGACUUUUGACUUUGUUGGCCUUUUCCAUUUUCACUAAUCAAUGCUAGACUGUGAGUCGCAAGUAAAUAUUACCCUCCCUUUCUGGUUCCAUUUACAAAUGCACCACUUUAAUCCUAUCCUUAGAAAAUGAAAAGCUAAUAAAAACACUCAAAAUUGGGCCAUCUUAAUAUUAUGGACAACAAAAUUUAGUUAAUCGACGGCCUGGAUUAAUUUGAAGGAUUUUUUUUUUUAAAAAUACAAAUUUUUUAAACCACACACUUAACAAACUUAUAAAGUUCAACCAUCUUUUUCGUUCGUCUUUUAUUUAAUUAUGCUUGUAUGUGAUGCUAUGCUUUGAUUUGUAUUUAAAGUUAAAUUAUCGGAAUUAAAUACGGAGUUUUACUUUUAAAAUACAAACAUACUAACUACGCAAUUACAAGGCAUAAAACAUAAAAAUAUAUAUUUGUUAAUAGCCUUUGCCCUUGCGGUUACCCUUCAUUUUGCUUAAACGGAUGGACUUGCACAAAGACAAUUGCAGUUUAGAGUGAAUAGUAAAGAUAAUUUCACCGACCUUACUUUUGCCUUGCUCUUGCUUAAAACGGGUGGAGAUGCCUUGAUGACAAAGCAAAAGAGAUAUCGAGGAGUAAAAGGAAACAACAACAUUCCACAAUAAAAAAAACAGUGCCAAAUGUCAUCCACUUUCAGAAAUAGUGCAAAUAAUUGUAACUUUUCGUUUUGUUGAAGUAAAAUUCACAUUUACAUCUUCACGAAAUAUAAAAUGUGACCAGCAUAUGAUUUUUACAUUUUAAAUUUGCAGCUCGCAUGCGAAAUGCUCUAAGGAGGAACUUCGUCAUAAACACAGUAAUUUUGUGGAGUCGAGCAAAAUUUUUUUAUCUAGUGUUAAACUCAAAGAACACGUUGUAUAAAGUUUAUCCAAAGGAGUGCGAAAAGACGACGAGCAAAAGGUUGGGAAUAUAUCUAACAUCCAAUACUAGUUGCAAUGUUUUGUAAUUCGGUACUUAGCAAGUUUGUUCUUUAAAAAUAAAAUUUUGUAUUUAGCUCCGAUAAUUUAACUUUAAAUAUAAACCAAAGCAUAGCAUCACAAACAAGCAGUUAUAAAAAAAAAAACAAUUACCACGUGGCAGAAACCCAUUGCCACACCCAAAUUUCUUGGGCCAUUAUUGGCCGUUGAUUGAGUAGACAAGUGAUGGGAGGACAGAAGAAACUCAAAGUUCGAGGGUUCCAGAAACUCCGACGAUGGCAGGGAUUGGCUCUUGCUGUACAACUCUAUCCUCCACAACUUUGGCUGUAUUUCUGGAGAUGUAAUCUUCCUCUUAGCUGAUGUCCAGUUUUAUGUUUCUGGACCUUUGGAUGGACGUCUUGAAUAAAUUUUCCAUUUCGUACUGUUGGAUUGUUGUUAGUAAUUAAGUUGCAAAAACAUAUUGUUUUAUACGAGAGUUUUUCAAAAUUUAUGACACGUUUUGAUUCCGGUUCUUGUGAGUUAGUAAAAAUCGCAACUAGAAUAAAACAUGUUCUCUUUCUGAUUCGAAGCAUUUAGCAAAUAUCUCGACGCAAUUCCUUGGGUUGAUUCUCUUAUAUUUGUCAAGGAAAUAAACUCAUGAUUUUUAUUAAAUCCCUUUUAAUUUGCUAAACAGGUGUGUCUAUUUCUAUGUGCAAAAUAAACAGAUUAUAGAAUGUGAGAUAUGGAUUCGUAUCCAUUGUCUAUAGAAAAAAAGUGCGAAUGCAACAUUGUUUAUAUUCUCGAAUGCUAUUUAGACAUACAAAAUUGACGACAUUGAUAUGACAUUCUAACACAGGCUAAACAACAUUAGUCGUUUCAUUUCCAUUCUUAAACUUCUGCUCUAUGAACCAAAUGAUUUUUGUCUUUAUUUUUAGUAGAAAUGGUAUUUUACAGUAAUCUACAAUAAAAGGAGGGGAAAGGUUUGAAUCUAGAACAAUGUGAGUUGAAAAUGAAGAUCCUAACUAUCAGGAACCAGUUUUCGUUUCUCAUUUUUGCCUUCUUCCUGGGAAUGACAGUGAAAUUAAACAUAUAUACCCAAUAUUUAAAGGGAAAGAAAGAAUCUUCCAUUCAUCUUCUGAUCCUCACCCAUCUUACGGUGUACACCUAUAGCCUCAGAAACUCAGCCACCACCUUACACACAGGAUCCAAAAAGGAAAAACAAAAAGUUGACCUAUUAAAUAAAAUAAUUUACAAACGAGAGAUAUUAGGGUUGACGGGGAAAUGCGGAACCACAAUUGGCACUACCGGAGAUUCAGUGUUCAGAGGCUGGCUGCUGCUCACUGUGCUACCUCCUCCUCCUCCUCCUGCAGCUGCUGCUGGCCCUUCGCCGCAGACACGAGAACCAUGAUGAAGGCAGCAACAGAUGAAUGACAAAAAUCCCAUGAUAUCCCCCUGAUGGACCUGAUCUCUCUUGAUUCUCUCUCUGUAGAAAUUUUAUACAUGUAAU
rnacentral:lncRNA from 1 species